GACGAACGCUGGCGGCGUGCUUAACACAUGCAAGUCGAGCGGAAAGGCCCUUCGGGGUCCUCGAGCGGCGAACGGGUGAGUAACACGUGAGUAACCUGCCCCAGACUUUGGGAUAACCCUCGGAAACGGGGGCUAAUACCGGAUACGACACAGCUUCGCAUGGGGUCUGUGUGGAAAGUUUUUCGGUUUGGGAUAGGCUCGCGGCCUAUCAGCUUGUUGGUGGGGUGAUGGCCUACCAAGGCGAAGACGGGUAGCCGGCCUGAGAGGGCGACCGGCCACACUGGGACUGAGACACGGCCCAGACUCCUACGGGAGGCAGCAGUGGGGAAUAUUGCACAAUGGGCGGAAGCCUGAUGCAGCGACGCCGCGUGAGGGAUGACGGCCUUCGGGUUGUAAACCUCUUUCAGCAGGGACGAAGCGUAAGUGACGGUACCUGCAGAAGAAGCGCCGGCCAACUACGUG
rnacentral:rRNA from 1 species